AUACGACCAUAUCACGUUGAAACACCGGUUCUCGUACUAUCACCGGGUAAGCAACAUUGAGCCUGGUCAGUAUCUAGAUGGGUGACCGCUUGUGCAUACUAGGUGCUGUAAG